GAGAAGAAAACUUGAGGGUAGGGUAGGGAAGGGAGGAGGGGGAGGCAUUCCUGCGUCAACUGUAGGAAUGUUUAAGGUUAUUAUAUUGAUGCACACACUUAACAUCAGCCCACCAGAGGGGUUCAAACUUGCUGAGGGACUGUUCUAAUGUCUCAAGGCAGGGGAGUGGGAUUAAACAGUAGCCCAGUGUGAGGUUUUUGUUUAUAUAUGACCCAGGAAACAUUCAACAGCCACAUCAAAGUACUGUAUUUUAGCGACUUUUAACCCUGUAGCAGCGAGGAUCACGAUUUUUAACCCGUACAGUGUUUACUACAUGCAUAUACAUACCUCUUAGGGAAGUGUUUAUUACGUAUAUAUACACAAGCUCUUUUGAGGGCUUAUGCGCCCUUUAUUUUUGUUUGUGUAUGUAACAUUGUUCAUUGACAAUGAAGAGCAAUAAUUUGACAAGUCUUGGUAGUUUUAAAUGGAUGUUAAAGAGCCUUUCUGUACAUUUGUCUGCAUUCCAACAAAAAUCAUUAUACAAGAAGGUAAGUUACUUUCUUCUAGGUAAUUACUCCUCGAUUCUAUAAUCAGUAAGGCAUAAGGAAUUGUAAAUUGCGCUUCAGAGUAAUUGGAAAUGAAAACUGAUAGUCGGAAGCAUCACAGUAUUAUGUUGAAGUUGGAAAGUUUUGUUUAGUGGGCGCAACAUCUGUGGUCAUAUGCUGGAGAGAGACAGAAGGGGAAGGAAUUAUAGAAGGCAACAGGGAAAGUUUUGUUUAGGUGGCACAACAUCUGUGGUCAUAUGCCGGAGAGAGACAGAAGGGGAAGGAAUUAUAGAAGGGAACAGUUGGAAAGUUUGGUUUAGUGGGCGCAACAUCUGUGGUCAUAUGCCGGAGAGAGACAGAAGGGGAAGGAAUUAUAGUAGGGAAGAGAUGGAACGAAUGGUUUAGUGGGCGCAACAUCUGUGGUCAUAUGCCGGAGAGAGACAGAAAGGGAAGGAAUUAUAGGAGAAGGGAACAGUUGGAAAGUUUGGUUUAGUGGGCGCAACAUCUGUGGUCAUAUGCCGGAGAGAGACAGAAGGGGAAGGAAUUAUAGGAGAAGGGAACAGUUGGAAAGUUUGGUUUAGUGGGCGCAACAUCUGUGGUCAUAUGCCGAAGACAGAAGGGGAAGGAAUUAUAGGAGAAGGUAACAGUUGGAUAGUUUGGUUUAGUGGGCGAAUCAUCUGUGGUCAUAUGCCGGAGAGAUACAGAAGGGGAAGGAAUUAUAGGAGAAGGGAACAGUUGGAAAGUUUGGUUUAGUGGGCGCAACAUCUGUGGUCAUAUGCCGGAGAGAGACAGAAGGGGAAGGAAUUAUAGGAGAAGGGAACAGUUGGAAAGUUUGGUUUAGUGGGCGCAACAUCUGUGGUCAUAUGCCGGAGACAGAAGGGGAAAGAAUUACAGGAGAAGGGAACAGGGAAAGUUUUGUUUAGGUGGCGCAACAUCUGUGGUCAUAUGCUGGAGAGAGACAGAAGGGGAAGGAAUUAUAGGAGAAGGGAACAGUUGGAAAGUUUGGUUUAGGUGGCGCAACAUCUGUGGUCAUAUGCCGGAGAGAGACAGAAGGGGAAGGAAUUAUAGGAGAAGGGAACAGUUGGAAAGUUUGGUUUAGUGGGCGCAACAUCUGUGGUCAUAUGCCGGAGAGAGACAGAAGGGGAAGGAAUUACAGAAGGGAACAGGGAAAGUUUCUUUUAGUGGGCACAACAUCUGUGGUCAUAUGCCGGAGAGAGACAGAAGGGGAAAGAAUUACAGAAGGGAACAGGGAAAG